GAUGAACGCUGGCGGCGUGCUUAACACAUGCAAGUCGAACGGUGAACGAGGGAGCUUGCUCCCUCCGGAUCAGUGGCGAACGGGUGAGUAACACGUGAGCAAUCUGCCCUGGACUCUGGGAUAAGCGUUGGAAACGACGUCUAAUACCGGAUACGAGACGCGAAGGCAUCUUCAGCGUCUGGGAAGAACUUCGGUCCAGGAUGAGCUCGCGGCCUAUCAGGUAGUUGGUGAGGUAACGGCUCACCAAGCCUACGACGGGUAGCCGGCCUGAGAGGGUGACCGGCCACACUGGGACUGAGACACGGCCCAGACUCCUACGGGAGGCAGCAGUGGGGAAUAUUGCACAAUGGGCGCAAGCCUGAUGCAGCAACGCCGCGUGAGGGACGACGGCCUUCGGGUUGUAAACCUCUUUUAGCAGGGAAGAAGCGAAAGUGACGGUACCUGCAGAAAAAGCACCGGCUAACUACGUGCCAGCCGCCGCAGUAA
rnacentral:rRNA from 1 species